GCUCAAUGAUGAUAUAAAGGCUAAUGUGACUCAACCAGCUGGGUUGCACCCUCAGCCCAUUCCAGUCAUACGGGUCUGUAAUCUUGGUGGACAGUGCUGAGCUGUGCAUGUUCACUGUAAGGGCAGGCCGACAGAAAAUCCACUUCCUUGGAAAGCAUCUUCAGGAUGCAUCAGCUCUGAGUGAGUGUUGCUUUGAGCUGACAAGAGGCUGUGGGAAUAGGAUGGCACAGCACAUCCAAGGUUUGGGUUGCAGGGGGCAUCCCAUGUUACAGCUGGUGAGAUGUGAGCACAAAUCUUUGGUAAUCUGAUGGCU
rfam:Picoides pubescens contig41908, whole genome shotgun sequence.